GGGGGCGAUAUGGAUUCGACGCCGGUUACGAAACCUAAGGUGCAUGCCGAGAGGGUAGUGACUCUCGUAAAUCAAUCGCUGUAACUUUUUUAGUUGCCAACGACGAAAACUACGCAUUAGCUGCCUAAACCCCUUAAAAAGGUUUAGAUAACAGCUCGACUCGGGGCGAAUGUGUCCAUGUAUUCAAUCCGAGUGCACGCCUCAUGGAACCGCUGCCUACGCCCCGCUUGUGACGGAAGCCGCUAAACUUAAAGCAAGCUCGCCUUUUAAUCCCUGUUCGACGGGCCAGUGAAAGGUUAAAUAAUAGACGAACUAAGCAUGUAGAGCCAAAGGCAGAGAACUGACGGACUCGGGUUCAAUUCCCGACGCCUCCACCA
rnacentral:tmRNA from 1 species